AUUCAAAUAGUUUAAUAAAAAAUAUUGAUUUGUGGAGUCAGAGAUAUAAAAUUUAUUUUGAAUA
rnacentral:tRNA from 1 species